rnacentral:rRNA from 1 species
GACGAACCGUACGAACGUUAUUCGGAAUCACUGGGCUUAAAGGGUGCGUAGGCUGCGCAGCAAGUUGGGUGUGAAAUCCCUCGGCUUAACCGAGGAACUGCGCCCAAAACUGCUGUGCUCGAGGGAGAUAGAGGUGAGCGGAACUUAGGGUGGAGCGGUGAAAUGCGUUGAUAUCCUAAGGAACACCGGUGGCGAAAGCGGCUCACUGGAUCUCUUCUGACGCUGAGGCACGAAAGCUAGGGUAGCGAACGGGA